rnacentral:rRNA from 1 species
GACGGGGGGUCCUAGCGUUGUUCGGAAUCAUUUGGGCGUAAAGCGGGCGUAGGUGGCGUAUGUAAGUCAGGAGUGAAAGCCCUGGGCUCAACCCAGGAAGUGCUUUUGAAACUGCGUAGCUUGAGUGUGGAAGAGGGUUGUGGAAUUCCCAGUGUAGAGGUGAAAUUCGUAGAUAUUGGGAAGAAACACCGGUGGCGAAGGCGGCAACCUGGUCCUUGACUGACGCUGAGGCGCGAAAGCGUGGGGGAGCAAACAGG